UACGUAGGGUGUGAGCGUUGCCCGGAUUUAUUGGGCGUAAAGGGCGCGUAGGCGGCCACGCACGUCCGUUGUGAAAUCGCCCGGCUCAACUGGGCGGGGUCAGCGGAUACGGUGUGGCUAGAGCAAGCUAGGGGGCAAUGGAAUUCCCGGUGUAGUGGUGGAAUGCGUAGAUAUCGGGAGGAACACCAGUGGCGAAGGCGGUUGCCUGGAGCUUUGCUGACGCUGAUGCGCGAAAGCGUGGGGAGCGAUCCGG
rnacentral:rRNA from 1 species